UCCCUUUGGACUAACUUCUUCAUCACAUAUCCUAAAAUUGGGACUUUCGGCCAAGGGCUUGAAGGGAACUUUUUUUGGCUUCUCCUAGGGACUUCUAGGGUCUUGAACCUGCACAUGAGAAGAGAAAAUACUAGAAAAAAUGCUAGCAUUUGGGUUAGUGAAUAACAAGGGUCCUUUGUGGACAAGAUCCACAAUCAAGCAUUUUUUCCCUUUCUAACUUCACUACCCACGGUUUCCUCUUACUUUUCCCUUCU
rnacentral:lncRNA from 1 species